rnacentral:rRNA from 1 species
CUCGUAGGCGGCCAACUAAGUCACACGUGAAAUCCCUCGGCUCAACCGGGGAACUGCGUGUGAGACUGGAUGGCUUGAGUUUGGGAGAGGAAUGCGGAAUUCCAGGUGUAGCGGUGAAAUGCGUAGAUAUCUGGAGGAACACCGGUGGCGAAGGCGGCAUUCUGGACCAAUACUGACGCUGAGGAGCGAAAGCCAGGGGAGCAAACGGGAUUAGAUACCCCGGUAGUCCUGGCCCUAAACGAUGAAUACUUGGUGUGGCGGGUAUCGAUCCCUGCCGUGCCGAAGCUAACGCAUUAAGUAUUCCGCCUGGGGAGUACGGUCGCAAGGCUGAA